UCAGUUGUGAAAGUUUGCGGCUCAACCGUAAAAUUGCAGUUGAUACUGGGUGUCUUGAGUACAGUAGAGGCAGGCGGAAUUCGUGGUGUAGCGGUGAAAUGCUUAGAUAUCACGAAGAACUCCGAUUGCGAAGGCAGCUUGCUGGACUGUAACUGACGCUGAUGCUCGAAAGUGUGGGUAUCAAACAGGAUUAGAUACCCUGGUAGUCCACACAGUAAACGAUGAAUACUCGCUGUUUGCGAUAUACAGUAAGCGGCCAAGCGAAAGCGUUAAGUAUUCCACCUGGGGAGUACGCCGGCAACGGUGAAACUCAAAGGAAUUGACGGGGGCCCGCACAGGCGGAGGAACAUGUGGUUUAAUUCGAUGAUACGCGAGGAACCUUACCCGGGCUUAAAUUGCAGAUGAAUUACGGUGAAAGCCGUAAGCCGCAAGGCAUCUGUGAAGGUGCUGCAUGGUUGUCGUCAGCUCGUGCCAUGAGGUGUCGGCUUAAG
rnacentral:rRNA from 1 species